rnacentral:rRNA from 1 species
GGGUACGACCACACUUGAGUGAAAACACCAUAUCCCGUCCGAUUUGUGAAGUUAAGCACUCACAGGCUCCGUUAGUACUGAGGUCAGUGAUGACUCGGGAACCCGGAGUGCCGUACUCCCCA